rnacentral:rRNA from 1 species
CGCGGCCUAUCAGCUUGUUGGUGAGGUAACGGCUCACCAAGGCAUCGACGGGUAGCUGGUCUGAGAGGAUGAUCAGCCACACUGGGACUGAGACACGGCCCAGACUCCUACGGGAGGCAGCAGUGGGGAAUAUUGCACAAUGGGCGAAAGCCUGAUGCAGCAACGCCGCGUGCGGGAAGAAGGCCCUAGGGUUGUAAACCGCUUUCAGCAGGGAAGAAAAUGACGGUACCUGCAGAAGAAGGUGCGGCCAACUACGUGCCAGCAGCCGCGGUGACACGUAGGCACCAAGCGUUGUCCGGAUUUAUUGGGCGUAAAGAGCUCGUAGGCGGUUCAGUUAGUCGGGUGUGAAAACUCUGGGCUCAACCCAGAGACGCCACUCGAUACUGCUGUGGCUAGAGUGCGGUAGGGGAGCGGGGAAUUCCUAGUGUAGCGGUGAAAUGCGCAGAUAUUAGGAGGAACACCAGUGGCGAAGGCGCCGCUCUGGGCCGUAACUGACGCUGAGGAGCGAAAGCGUGGGUAGCAAACAGGAUUAGAUACCCUGGUAGUCCACGCCGUAAACGUUGGGCACUAGGUGUGGGUCUCAACCAACGAGAUCCGCGCCGUCGCUAACGCAUUAAGUGCCCCGCCUGGGGAGUACGG